rnacentral:lncRNA from 1 species
CUAUAGGGUAUUUGUCAAAACUUUUAUAUUGUAAACGUCAAUUUUAAAGCAGAAUCUAAACAUAUCACAACAAUAUUUUUCAGAAUCAGCUUUUAAAUCUCUCUGAAUUUUAAAGCUAUGGCAAAAACGUUUUAAGGUUCUGAGAUGCAAGAAUUCAAAAGUCGGUUGUGAAAAGUUUUGAAAAACCCAAAAUCAUAAUGUUUUUCCCCCCUCUCUUCCCGACCCCCUGUCCUGUUCCUGGGAAUGCAAUGAUAUAAUCUGCAGGACAAAAAUGAAAAUGAAACUUGAAAAUUUGUCCCCUUUCUUUAGGGAUUAAAUGAAGCAAAAGCAAUCAGAUAUGAAUGAAAUCAAACCCUAUCCCCAUCAUGAGACCUAUUUUGCAUGUUAGAAGAGACAAAACUGACGGCCAUGAUCACUUCAGACUGGGGGAAGGGGACCCAUCUAUUGGAGGAUGGAGGAUGACACCCACAUGUCUCAUCCCCUCACAUGCACACUCACAAAACAUUCUCUCUCUCUCUCUCUCUCUCUCUCUCUCUGCGUGUUCUUGGCGCAUAUCUCCAGUCCCUACUCUCUCUCCUCAUCCUACCCACGCAUUGAAAGCUACACGACGAGGAUGUCUGCUUGCCAUCAACUUGAGAGAAUCCAUACCCUCUAACUAGAGUUUAUGACUGGAUUGUGAUUGAGUGCCUUUUUCGAAUUUGAAUUUGAAUUUAAUGUCGUAAAAUUCAAAAUUGCUUAAAGUCAAUUCGUUCUGUUCACGACAAGUUAAGUUGGUUGUCUUUUUAAUGAUUUAUUUAUUUUUUAAAAAAAUUUGGUUUUUAAAUCGGUCUAGAUUGUACUUCACCACACUCUUUUCCAUUGACACGGUAUUUUUAUCGUCCGAUAACUCCAUUUCUCUUGUUCUAUUGUUUUUUUAAUAGUAUACUCGUGCCUCAAAGUUAGUGUAUCUCAAUAGCACGAAGAUGAGAGUGCAUUGGAUCGGGAACCAAGAUACCUAAGAACAAAAUGCUCGGAUAUAGAUUUUAUUUUUUAUGUAAAAAAAAAUACGCACAAAGUGCAACGCACACCUCUCACGAUUGGCUUACACUUAAAGUGUCACCCAAAUCUUAAGCUAUUGGAGAGAGAGAGAAUGUAGUUAUAAUUAAGGAACAAUUGCAUGGUUUGGAGACGUAUAUUAAUCAAGAUUCGGACUUAAUUUACAGAAUCGAAUACAAAUCAAGGAGCCAAAGAAUAUUCCCUACUAUUAUAGUACUUUGAUUAUUAUAAUGCCUUGGUUUGGAUUAUGAAUUUGUGAAAAAAUGAAUGAAGGGAAAGUUUUUUUUUUUUUUUUUAAGAAAAAGUUGAUUAUUUUUAUGGAACAAUAUUCGCACUCCUUUUUUUUUGGAAUUUUUUUAAAAAAAAAGUGUCUUUUUUUUCUCCGUAUAGAGGUAAGAUUACAAAACAGCACUUGCAUUUAAUAGAAAGUGUGCCAUGGAUUGGUAAUGAAAGGGCAUGUAAUUUUACACGAGAAAAAANNNNNNNNNNNNNNNNNNNNNNNNNNNNNNNNNNNNNNNNNNNNNNNNNNNNNNNNNNNNNNNNNNNNNNNNNNNNNNNNNNNNNNNNNNNNNNNNNNNNACAAUUCCCUCGAGCCGAUCUCGUCCCUUUCAGCAACAAAUGUCAGUCUCAUCUCCUCUCUCCGCCUCUCUUUAUUUCCUUCAAUUUCGCAGAAAAUUAUUUCUCUGUUUGGAAGUAAAUAUUUUCAAUUCUUGCUUUGUUGGUUGCUAAGAAAAUGUUUUUUGUUGGGUCAUCAACCAUUAUUUUCGACACUGGCGUUGAUUUUUCUCGCAUGACUUUCCCCGUGAAAAAACAGACCCUAAACUACUCUAGUUUCGCAUGACGUUACAGAUCUACUCCGGAGACCUACCGAAGCGGUUGGUAAUAACCGCCGGACUAUCAUCUGAUCCAAAACUUUCGGAGAAAGAAAGGAGACCGUUACGAAGGCCCAAUAUACAGCUUUUCUUCGGGCGACUACGGCACAUCGCUGUCCAAGGGGCGUACCUCACCUACGAGGACACGUACCUCGCCGUUACUGGCGGAUCCGGAAUCUUCAACGGGGCGUGUACGGCAGGUGAAACUUGCCGUCAAGAUCGUGUUUCCCUUCAAGCUGUUCUAUACUUUUCUAUUUGAAGGGCAUACCGGACCUGCCGGCGGACCUGGUGUGUACGGCCGUUUCGCCAUCGCCCACUGUGGAGCGUCGCCGGCGGCUAAGGCGUGCGAGGUUGGGGCCACUAUCCCUAAUGUCACUAAUUGAAGUAAGGAGUGAUUGUGAUGGGAAUCUUGACGAUGAUCGUGCGCAAUCAAUGUUCACUUUUUCAGAAUGCGUUUUCUGUAUUUUUUGUUUUUUAUGUAUGGCUUGCGUUUUUCAUGAUAGGUGUGUAUUUUUAGGGUAAUUAGGUUGAGUUAUAUGAUAAUUCGAUAAUGUGUGGAACUUGCUUUAAACUUACAUCCAUGAUCGGAACAUUUCAUUUGGUUUGGAAUAACCGAGAUAAUCCUUAUUGAUCCAAGCAUAACUUUAAAAGGAACUGCUAAUUAUCACAACACAUAUGGGGUGUUGAUUAAAAGCAUAUCGAUCAAAUGUUUACACAUACAAAACGGAGUUUUCAAUUUCGUUUCGAUACUAAUCAGCAUAGGCGGGAUUUUUACUUGGAGAGUUCAGUUCAUUUUUCGCGUUUGUUUUUUAAAAAUGGCUCCGGACUAUUAGUCCGAACAGACGCAAAUAAUUUUUCAUACUUGGAACAAGGAAGUCUAGGGGUUAACAUUAUUAGUCUCCCAAGUAAUUCGAGAAUUACUUGACCUAAUCCUGCUAUCAAACAAGCCUUUAGUCCUCCAUUUCAACUACCGUGGCACCAACUAAUACUAAUGAACUAACUAAAUCGUUACCCACCUACUUUCACCCUCAAAACGCUCCAUCAUUUACUUAAUUAAUGAAAAUAGCGUGCACAAGAGCUUGAUAACGUGUUAGCCGAAGAUAACAGUCAUUCUAACAUAAAUAGUUCACUAGUUGUACAAUGAAUUGCAAAAUAUCGUACAACUUACUACCUUGGUUAACAUCUUAAGCUAGCACUGUCGUUUAUGUUGAACAAAUAGCAAUGCUAUAACAUGCAAAAAGUAUUUGAUGUUUAAAAAAUAUAUAUAGUUAUAAAAGUGCAUUGAACAUAUGAAAAAUCAUGAGUAAUCUGCUCAGCGUUCAUUAACAACCCGCCCACUCUCCUGGUUACAAACGAAACUUUAAAAUAAAUUGAUUAAUAUUUUGAAAAAAAUAAAUAAAUAUAAUUCGAUUCAUAUCACUUUUUCCUUGCCCGAUUGAAUUUUUAUGUCUAUUAUUAUUUUUUUCAAGAAAUUAUUACAUGGACAUGUCAAUUAAGUAACUUAGCUCCAUUUGUUAAUAUUUAAAAGUCAAGUUUUUAAAUUUAUUAUUAAAAAGGUCAGAUUUUUUGACUCUUUUAUUUUUGUGCUUUAAUUUAGAUAAAAUAAGUAAAAAAAUAAAAUAAAUCAUUUUAAAUAAAAAUUAAAAAAAAUCUGAGGUCAACGGAAGUCGUACCUCCACCUUCAUCACGGUUCUCUCUAAAAUUCAAAGAGAACGGCCAUUGGUUGGAAUGGACCCUAUUAAUUUCUUUGUAUUUUCAAUUCAACUAUUGAGAAAUGACCUUUGUAGUGGUGAUUGUGAUAAGCAAUUAACAUAAAAACUUUUCAUCCCACGUGUGUUUGUCAGUUUGUGGCUAUUUUCUUUCCUUUUUUUUUCCCCCUUAACAGAAAGCAUUGGUUUGGCUUUUUGUAUUGUUGCCGCGGGGUGGUCCUGGUGGGAAGUUGGUUGGGGUUUAUUGUGGCACUUGUCCCCAUUUGUAUAGGGUUUGCAAUAAUUGCCACGUUGAAAAAUACAUUUUAUACGACCGACACCAUACACUUCUGAGUUAGGGCUCUGGUUUGCCCACAUUUUUUUUUUAUAGUUUUUCUUACUUUUUUUUAUUAAAAUAAAUUAAAAAAAUCAAUCAAAUUUAGUGUUUGUUUACUUUUCUUUUUUUUUUGCUUUUUACUUAGUUUUACCUACAGUAAAAGUCACAAAAGUCAAAAAAUAAAAAUCUUAAUUUUUUGAUAAUAAUUUAAAAACACUGCUGUUUUUAAGCAUUAUCAAUAGAACAUUAAGGUGCACUCUUCUUUCUCUUUCUAUCAAACCCUAACUUUAAAAAGGGUAUUAUAAUGAUUUAACUAUUUCGUUCCCAUUUCAAUCACGGUGAAGGAGUUUCCUGUUAGAGUUGAAUUAGUUCCUUAGACCAUGAUAUAGUGUUUACGGACCCAAAACAUUUCUGUCUAGGGCCCCAUUUUUAUUUUGUUUUUUGACAAAUUUUACUUCAUCCUUUCUAGUUUCAAUAAAUACAGAAAUCUUCCCAUGUAUUUUUUGAAAAUACCCUGAUCUCUCUUAUUUUUAAACUAUUAUCAAAAUUCAUUUGAAGUUAAUUGGCUUAAUUUCUUGUAAAAUAAACAAAGAUUUAUCCCUUUAAUUUUAUUUUUUUUGUAAUUAAUUUGGAUAAAAAAAUAAAUAUUUUAAGUACAUUUUGAUUAUGAUACUUGAAAAUAAAUUACGUAGAUCAAUAUUUUUUUAAAAAAAUUACUUAUUGAGAAAAAAGAUUGUGUUUAUUACUGUAAUUGGUGUCUUAAGAAAAAAUUUAGAAUCUUUAAUUCAUGUCAAUAUCGUCAUUUUGAUAAAAAAAAAUAGCUCAAGUGGAGAAUCUUUUUGGAGAAGUGUCAAAAGUAAGAAAUUCAAUACUAUUUUAAAAACUACAAGGGAAACAGUUGUAAUUGUCAAAAAUCUCAAGAUACGUCAAUGAAAUUUCUACCAAAAAAAUUGGGGCUAGAAAUAAUUUUUUUGGGUCCAAAUAGAAUGACUGAUUGAAUGGGAAUAAAUAAUGAAAUUAACUUAUAUUGGCCACCAAAAUGACCUUUGUAGUGGUGAUUGUGAUAAGCGAAUAACAUAAAAUUUUUCAUACCCCGUGUUUUGUCGUUGUCAGUUGUGCUAUUUUCUUUGUUUUUUUUCCCCUUAAAAGAAGCAUUGGUUUGCUUUUUUGGAAUUGUUGCCGAGAGUUGGUCAUGGUGGGAAGUUGGUUGGGGUGUAUGUGGCACUUUCCCAUUUGUAUUCGGGCUUGAAUCAUUGCACUUUGAAAAUACAAUUUAGACGACCGACACCAUACACCUCUUAGGUUAGGACUCCGUUGUCAUCAACUUUUUUAGUUUUUUUUUUUGAUUUUUUUUGUUUAAAAUAAAUAAAAAAGUCGAUCAGAUUUGGGUUUUUUACUUUCAUUUUUGCUGUUUUACUUAAAUUGUACCUAAGUAAAGGCACAAAUCAAAAAAAUAAAAAAUUAAUUUUUUUGAUAGUAAGUUUAAAAAAAAAACUUAAUUUUAAGUAUUAUCAAACGAGACCUUAAGGUGCGAUCUUUCUCCUUUCUAUUCAAACCCUAACUUUAAAGAGGGUAUUAUAGUAAGUUUUACUAUUUCGUUCCCAUUCAAUCCACGGGUGAUGUGAAGGAGUUGCCUUUAGAGUUGACUUAGUUUCCUUAAGACCAUAGUUAUUAAAAAACGGAACUGAAGCGGUCGGUUCACACGGAACGGGAAUCGAGCACUAAACCUGUCAGCAAAUAUUUUACCGAAAAUACAGACGAACCGGAUGGAACGGCCGUUUUUUAUCGAAACGGACAAAGUUUUUAACAGAAAACAAUUAAAGUUUUAAUUUUACAGGUUGAUCCAAAAAUUUUGAAUUGAAGUUUUAAUUUUUUACAGUGGACCCAACAAUUUUUGAAUGAAUUUUUAAUUUUUAAUAGUUUUUAACUAUAAUUAAUUUUUCACUAUGGAAGGGUAAAAAAAUAUUUUUUUUAUUAUAUAAUAAAAUAUAAUUUAUUAUUUAUUAAUUAUAAAUCCGGUAUGAUUGAACCGUGUUUUGAACCGGUGCCUUGACCGGUUCAGAUGGUCCGAUUCGGUUCUGAUAACUAUGCUUUAAGCAAUGAUAUAGGUUUACGUGAUUGAGGGUGAUUCUAUUUGGACUCAAAACAUUUCUGUCAACUCAUCCUUCUUUGUUUUGGAGACAAAUUUUACUUACAUCUUCUAGUUUCUAAUAAAUAAAUAUCUUCUAUGUAUUUUGAAAAUAACAAUGAUCGCUCUUUUUUUUAAAUUAUUAUCAAGUCAUUUGAGCUAAUUUCUUUGACAAACAAAUAACAAGAUUAUACCUUUAUUUUAUUUUUGUAAUAAUUUGGGACAAAAAAUUAUUUUUAAGUACGUUUUGGAUUAGUAGCAGUACUUAAAACACAAAGUAAAAUACGUAGAUCUAGAUUUUUUUUUAAAAAAACUACUUAUUGAGAAAAAGAAUAGUUUUUAUUAUAUUUUAAUUGUGUAAAAAUAAGAAAAAAAUAAGAAAUUUUUAAAUUUAUUGCAAUAGCGUCAUUUGAUUAAAAAAACAAGCUCAAGUGGAGAAUAUUUAUUUAGUGUCAAAAGUAGAAAUGGUCAAUACUAUUUUAAAAACUACAAGAAAAAAACAGUUGUAAUUAUCAAAAAUCUCAAGAAAACGUCAUGAUUUAUCCCAAAAAUUGGGGCUAGAAAUAAUUUUUUUGGUCCAAAUAGAAUGACCGUGAUUGAAUGAAAUAAUGAAAUUACUUAUAUUGCCCCACCAAGAAAUGGGAUUGAGCCUGUCAGCCCCCAGUCCAAAUCAACGCCCCACCCAGCACAUAGUACUAACCAAAAUGCAAAAAAGUUUAAAUUAAAUAACAUGACAUAUAACUGUCACUACAUCAGAGUACAGUAAUAAUUCUCGCCCGUAGGACCCAUACUUCUCCAUGAGUUAUCAAAUACAAAAAAGAAUGGUAAUACCAUACCAUGGAUAAUGGUCUACCAGACCCAAAGAAUAAAUUACACAUUCUCAAAAGAUCAUUUACGUAUUUCCUAGAUAAAAAGAAAGUAACGGCAAAUCCAUAUGUUUCUCCGACGACUCAGAUAACCCGUACAUGAAAUUCAUUUAAAAUGUAAAUGUGAGUUUACCUUAAAAAUUUUAACAAUGGAAAUUGCGUCUCAAAGCAAAACUAUGAGACAUAAGUGCAAUAGUAUAUUUUUGUUCAUAUCAAAAUAUACUUUUGUAUAUAAAUGAUAUCACAUGUGCGUUCCAAUAAUGUCAUAUAUAAGAAGAGAAAAAUUUUAAAGCCUUACAUAGCCUUACUUGAUGUCUUUUCGUUUGUUUUUUUUUUGGGCAAAAGGCCGAUGAAAAGUGGAAAAUGCAUAUUGACUCGAAGUGUACAGUUUUGAAUGUUCACUUUUGAAGCGUAUAAUGCAAAGUGUCUUUUUAGUUAAAAUACAAUGAUGCAAAGUGGUUUUUACCAUUUGUAUUAUUGAGUUCAAGCAUUUGAAUUUGACAUGUUCGGACUGUGAUAGUGAUAUUAAGACAUCGAGUAUAUCAUACAAAUAUUACGAUCGGUUGUGAUGUAU